UUCUGAGUUCACAUAACUGCAUCUUCUGUUGAAUUGACAACACCUUACUUCAGACAAAGGUCAUUCUGGGCAAGGAUUGGAGAAUGUGUUGAUGGAAAGCAUGCUGGAUAUGCCUCUUCCUGGUAUAUGAAGGAACAUUUCAGGAAUCAAAAACAAAACUCCGGAAGAUGCAUUCAGGAUUGUUCAGGAGACCCAGUCUGGAUUAAUAAUCUGACAUGUCCUCUACCUGAGAGAUAGGAAGAACUGCCGAUGCUGGAGUCAGAGAUAACACAUUGUGGAGCUGGAGGAACACAGCAGGCCACAGAGAAGCAGGAAAAUUGACAUUUCAGAUUCCAGCUGAGAGGAACACCAAGCUGUCAAAGUCACAGCCCUGGGAUGAAAUGCUGAAAAAAUUUGAGAGAAAUUUAACGGGAAGGUGCGGAGAGAAAGCAGCAAUACGUUUCUGUUGAAAUGUUCCAAUGGUCAAGCAGGAUGAAUGGAGUAGUAAAGCAGUAAAUCAUUGUACUUCCAUUUUGCAGUUGUCCUUGAAAAGUCCCUAAACAGCCAUCCGAAUG